rnacentral:lncRNA from 1 species
ACCCGCCAGCCCCGCGCUCUACCAGGCAGAGCGCGUGUGGCCGCCGAGCACAUGGACCCACUGGUCAAGCGGGCUCGGCAAGGCCAGGAUGAAGAGAAGCUACGAACUUAGCAUUCCCAGAGCCCCCCGAGUGGAUAUCCGCGUGGAAAGGAUGUUGGCAGCCCCGGUGACCUCGGAGUCACGGCUGGAUCCACCCUCUUGUCUGAUUUUCUUAACUCUACUACGGUAAGAAGAUGCCCUCCAUCAGCAGGCCGUGUCUGCUGGGACCUCUCUGGAGACUUCCUGAACCCUGUGGAUUUACAGUAAGAUGCAGUUUCCUGGGGAGUAAUUCUGGUGGAUACAAAUUCCGGAGUAUUACACCUGGCUUGCCUGGAGAUGUUACAAGUAGCUGGAUGGAUUCUUCAGCCUGGAUGCCCACUGAAAACAAGGACCGAAACUAAGAGGAUUGUAUCUCUACCCUUGACUCAAUGAGAAUGUUUGUUGUCAUCUCUCGGGCUACCUGGAGCUCCCUCUAAAAUUAUACCCUUUAAGCGUUCCAGAAGGAUUUUGAGAUCCUUUCCUAAAUCAAAGGUGGAAUAUUUGGGGAUUUGGAAAAUUGAGCCAGUCUCUCAGAAGAACCAGUUGUGUUACUUUGCUGUGAGAUGCCUGCCCUAAGAGAGGAGCAGAAGGUCGGAACGGGUCCUCUAAUGUGAUAAUUAGAUGUGAAGCGUUGACUUAAGAGAUGCCAAGUAACUCAGCAGAUGUCACACAGACGAUAAAUAGCAAAGAUGGAAGUCUUCAUGCCGGAGGCAAUCCUAUAAGACAGCUGAGUUCUGCAGAGCUGGUAGGAGACAGACUUGCUCAGGUGAUAGAUCCAGCCAUGAUACUGACCCUAAGAGAAUGAGACGCUCUGCAGAAGACAGAAGAUUCCUGAAACUGGGAAAGGUGCCUAGAAAUCCUGAUAAGAGUGAAGAAGGAGCUGGCAGAGCAGCCUUCCUCCGCACUAUGAAAGACAUCCAACAGAGAGCAAGUUCCCACCUCACUUCCAGCUUGACUCCUUUUUAUCUCCUAACUGUGGUCUGUGAUGUCUUCAGCAAUGGGUACCUGGAGGCACAGCAGCCAUGUUGAACCUAUGAGGUGAUGAAAAACCAUGCAACUAGAAACCAGAAUGGAAGAAAAGAAGAAGCUGGAUCCUUGACUGAAUUGUCGAUGGGGGAUAGUCCAUCAUCCCAGGGCUAAGACCACCUCCAGAUUUCUUGUUUGGUGAAACAAGUCCUGAUUGUUUACAUUCCCUCGUGUUGAGCUGUCUCUUGCUUGUAGCUGAAAGCAUUUCUAAUAGAUAUUCAGAUUAUCAGCCUUAGCUCCAAGCUAGAAUACUCUAUGGGACCUUAGCUUCUCCAUGAAUUCCUUUGCUCAUCUGUGUAAUGCUCAAUAAAUGUAAAUUGAACCCUGAAUGAGGGACAAUGACA